GAUGAACGCUGGCGGCGUGCCUAAUACAUGCAAGUCGAGCGAACGGACGAGAAGCUUGCUUCUCUGAUGUUAGCGGCGGACGGGUGAGUAACACGUGGAUAACCUACCUAUAAGACUGGGAUAACUUCGGGAAACCGGAGCUAAUACCGGAUAAUAUUUUGAACCGCAUGGUUCAAAAGUGAAAGACGGUCUUGCUGUCACUUAUAGAUGGAUCCGCGCUGCAUUAGCUAGUUGGUAAGGUAACGGCUUACCAAGGCAACGAUGCAUAGCCGACCUGAGAGGGUGAUCGGCCACACUGGAACUGAGACACGGUCCAGACUCCCACGGGAGGCAGCAGUAGGGAAUCUUCCGCAAUGGGCGAAAGCCUGACGGAGCAACGCCGCGUGAGUGAUGAAGGUCUUCGGAUCGUAAAACUCUGUUAUUAGGGAAGAACAUAUGUGUAAGUAACUGUGCACAUCUUGACGGUACCUAAUCAGAAAGCCACGGCUAACUACGUG
rnacentral:rRNA from 1 species